GACGAACGCUGGCGGCGUGCUUAACACAUGCAAGUCGAACGGAAAGGCCCUGCUUUUGUGGGGUGCUCGAGUGGCGAACGGGUGAGUAACACGUGAGUAACCUGCCCUUGACUUUGGGAUAACUUCAGGAAACUGGGGCUAAUACCGGAUAGGAGCUCCUGCUGCAUGGUGGGGGUUGGAAAGUUUCGGCGGUUGGGGAUGGACUCGCGGCUUAUCAGCUUGUUGGUGGGUAGUGGCGUAGCAAGGCUUUGACGGGUAGCCGGCCCGAGAGGGUGACCGGCCACAUUGGGACUGAGAUACGGCCCAGACUCCUGCGGGAGGCAGCAGUGGGGAAUAGUGCACAAUGGGCGGAAGCCUGAUGCAGCAACGCCGCGUGCGGGAUGACGGCCUUCGGGUUGUAAACCGCUUUCGCCUGUGACGAAGCGUGAGUGACGGUAAUGGGUAAAGAAGCACCGGCUAACUACGUG
rnacentral:rRNA from 1 species